UGUAAAAAAUUUAUUUAUUUAUUUAAAAGGCAGAAUGACAGAAAGUGAUAGAUAGAAAUCUUCUAUUGGCAUAGACCCACUCAACUGUCCCCACACAGACAUGUCAGAAGUAUUUGUAUGUUUCCCCCACGUCUUAGAGUUUCCAUAGGGUCAAGACAUUUUUUUCACUAAAUAAGACACAUAAAAAUAAAUAAUCAGAUAUAAAAUUUGAAGUUUGUAUUUAAAUAGAAUGUGAUGCUAAAUUUGAUGCUACAGGGAUCAAAAUUAUGAGUGACUGUGACAAACAAUAAGAACCUAGAAUCUUCAUCAACAAAUUCCAUAACUAAAGUCAAACAAUACUAUGUAACAGUGGAAGGCUCUUGAAAAAAAUCUACUACAUUCCCAGAAAUGAGUGUCGAAAAAGGAAACGAGUAAAAGGACACUGAACAUCAGUGCAGGAACCCAGCUUUGAGAUAUCAACGCCAAACUCUGAACUCUACAACCUAACCCAGAUAGCUCAACCCUAAAUUAGUUUCGUCUCCUACAAUGUGGAUGCACUCAUGUCCUAGCAACUGCACAUUCUGCAGAAUGUCCUUACAGUACUUUUCCAAACAUGGCAACUCCCCUACAGAGGCAAAGCUGCAACACUGGUUGAAAAGAAAGUGCUUGGGAUAUGGACCAGAUUUUCCUCUCCCUGUUCUCAACUGGAAACUCACUAUUGAGCUGCCCAAUUACUAAGUCCACCUGGAUGUAGGACCCUUGAAUUCUACCAUAUAUUACAAGGUUGGAAUUGGAGUGCUAGUGGAAGCUACACAUAUUAUUCUCUGAAUUCUCACUGAGACUGACAUUUGGAAAGUAACCACUUUGGCUUUCUAAUUUGGCUCCUGUAUUAAUGGGCCUGGGUCAUAGAUAAGGAAAUAUCAUUCAUAUAAUAAAUCUUAUAUAGUAAACAAAUUUAAAUCAUACUUACUUGAUACUUAAUAUAAAUUUAUGAGAAAACCCUCUUUGGGUUGCAUAUACAGAAACCUACUAAAACUUCAGUGAAAUGAGGCUUAUUAUAUUUCAGGUAAUUUACUAAGUAUUAUGUAUCUACUAGACACAGGCUAAUAACUAAGAUAAAUACAAGCAUUUUGGGCUCCCAUAAAAAUGCAGCAGUAGAGAAUGUGUUAGAAAUAGUUUUUAGGCUGGCGCUGCAGCUCACUAGGCUAAUCCUCCGCCUUGCUGUGCCAGCACACCGGGUUCUAGUCCCGGUCAGGGUGCCAGAUUCUGUCCCAGUUGCCCCUCUUCCAGGCCAGCUCUCUGCUGUGGCCAGGGAGUGCAGUGGAGGAUGGCCCAAGUCCUUGGGCCCUGCACUCGCAUGGGAGACCAGGAGAAGUACCUGGCUCCUGCCAUCAGAUCAGCGCGGUGCGCCGGCCACAGUGUGCUGGCCGUGGCGGCCAUUGGAGGGUGAACCAACGACAAAGGAAGACCUUUCUCUCUGUCUCUCUCUGUCUCUCUCUCUCUCACUGUCCACUCUGCCUGUCAAAAAAAAAAUAGUUUUUACUUUAUGGUUACCACUAUACCAAUGAAUAAUUUAGUUCUGAAAGCCUGAAAGCCUUUUUGUAGUCCAAAUUCUAGGUAAUAUUUGAUACCAAUGCUAUGUAUGUGGAAAAUGUAUAUAAUGCUAUUGAGAUUUUAAGUUUCAUGAAAAAAAAUAGAUAUGGAUAAAGUUGUUUUUAAGUUUUUUGCUUUUAGAAAAAUUAUCUCUAUAUUUCAAAAUGUUUAUAUUUUGCCUUAAAUUUGUCGCUUGAUACAAUACAAAAUAUACAAAUGAACUAUUGAAUAGUGAAUAAUGUAGUUGUCAAAUUUAUAGACAGAUGUUUUAUAGGAUUGUUAAAGUCUUGCAAGAAAUGCAAGCUCUAAGUUGUAAGAUGUGGCUGGCUGGUAGAGGCAUUCUUAGACAACCCAUAGGCUACACUCUGUGUUAGUUGGCAGCCCUGUUCCUAUUAUCCAUUGUCAUGCUGUGGCUUAUAUCGGGACACAUACAAUAGAUGAUGCAUCUAUUAACAUCCUCUGUUAUGCAUUCUUUAAUGGUUUUAGAGAUGUAUUAAAUUUUAAAUUGAUGUAUAAACAGCCUAUCAAAUAAGCAGCAGAAAAUUUGAGAUUUUUUAUAACUUUCAGGAAACAUAAAUAGCUUACUGAAAAUAAAGAUACCAUAAAUGCUGUAAGGUAAAUAAUUUUAAAGAUUGAGUCUCCUUGACAAAAGUACAUAUCAUUCUAUGCACUUCCAUUCAAAUAAUAUGCUUUGGCCUUCAUCAUGUUAAGUAUUUAUUUAUCAAAAAUGGGUUCCUAUUUACUUGAAACUUCUGUUUGGUAUCCAACUGUGCUGCAAGAGUUAGCCUGUAUUUUGAAUGGCUCUGGAAUGCAGUGGGCAUUGGUGAGAGAAAAUCGACAGGCUUCUCUCAUCCCCAUUAAUACAGAGGUCAUAGUAUCUGGAUAAAAAUUAAGCUACCCAAGCAGAUGGAUAGAUGAGGAAAAAUAACUAUUAAUAACCUAUGGCUGCUGCUUUUAAUUUGAGACUAUCUCAGUUGGCAGGCAUAAUUUAUGAAUCAAUAAUAAAUAUUGCACUUGCAUCUAUUUUUCUAAAUUCUAUCAAUUAUUUAGUCAUUAAGUAAAUGAGUUAAAGCUUGACUUUACUUCAUUUGGAAUCCAAACUGCUGUGAUACUUCAGCAGUGGGAUUCAUGUUUUAAAUCUCUGUUUGCCCUAGAAUAAUUCUAGUGAGUAUCUUUGGCUAAAUAGAAUCUGAGUAUCCCAUUUUCAAAUAGAGAAACAUUUAGCAAAAUAGGAGUUAUUGUCAGUUCACCUAAUGGAAGCCAAAUUGUAAUCCAAAAUGUUGUUUCAAAUGACACACACACACACACACACACACACACGAUUUACAAGCUUCACAUCCGACAUGUUUAACAUACCCACUAAAACACAGAACUAGCACUUUUGUCCCAGAAAAUGAGGUUCCCAAACCAACCCAGCAGAACAAAUGGAGUUCCAUGAGCCUUUUCUUUUUAAAUUGGCAACUUAUUCUUAAUGGCUAACUUAAACAUAACUUGAUUCAAAAUUAAUUAUCAAAGGUAUAUAGCAUUUUGAUGAUUAAUUUUUGGUCUACAGAAAGCUUACUUAAAUACAUAAAAACUUCGAAACAUUUCAAAAAAUUUUUAAAAGUACAAUCCUAAAACUCAACACUAAGAGGAAAUAUAACAAUAAACAAAAUAUUGCAUAAAUAACCUGUUUACCCCUGCACUCAUGUUCCCUUUCUCUCUCUUCUGAUGCUCUUCUCCAGAGUACAAAAACAUAAUCCAUACACACAUGGAUCAAUAUAUACAUGCAAAUAUUAGAGGUAACUAAGACAUCAAGUUUUCCCUUUGAACACUAUUAAUAAGGGGGAAAGAAUUGCUUAACAGGUAAUUAAAGAACCCUAGCUGAUAAGAAAUCUUUCUUUAGAAAGCCUUUGAGUGAAUAACUAUAGAAUAGAGUUGGAAAGAUCAAGUCAUUCUGAGAUCAUACAGAUCACAAUCAUCAGUGGAUUUUGAAAAAACAGAAAGGUCCAGCUCUCUCCACUGAUCCCACUGAUACAUCACCAAAUUACAGUGACCAGAUGAGCUUCCGAAUAGACUAAUAUAUGGAUUACACAGCACCCUCUAUAAAACAUCUUUGCUAAGCUGUUGAAUCUGAAUACCACCAGCUCUUUAGACCUCACUUUUAGUCUUUGAUAAAUACCGAAUAUUAGAUUGAGAUAUAAAGCAGAUAUUUUGCUGACCCACUUUGAAUUUGUAUCAGGAAGGGAAAACAAACGAGUUAUGCAAAAAACACCAAAAAGUUGAGUUUGGAUUUUAUACAUAGCAUAACCCAGACCAGAUUUAUUAUAUCCAUUGCUAACUUACAGAAUUUGGUACUUAGAGCAGGAAUGCAAAGUUAAGUCUAUUGCCUCGCCAAGGUAUGAUCUAUUUUCGGGAUGCAAAGCGUUAUCAGAGCACAUGCAAAGUUUAAAUGAAUGGUGGCAGCUUUGCCAGUUCUGAGAGAAUAUUAAUGAUAUUGUGAACAUUUUUAUAGCUUUUUUUGCAUCUGACUUCCUUACUGUUUUUAUUAAAGUAUUGACGAGAAAAUUGAUUACCAUUGUAAUAAAAAUUAUUUGUUAUGCUCACUUUCCCAUGUCUCUCCUUCGUUAUAGUUUUUUACAUCAAAUAUAAAAAUUUGGAUGUUAUUUUAAAAACUAGAUAUGCAUACUUACAAUGAAUUAGUUUUUGAAACUAGUAAUCAGAAACUACCUCAUUGAGUCUCCAUUGAUUCUUAAAUCAAUAUGAAUGUCAUUUCAGUUUAGUUUCUGUUAGUUGACUAAAACAAGGGGUUGUAAUAUGUGAAAACUUGAUGGUUCUGAAACAUUGCAAACACUUGUAUCCGUGUUUUUGAAAAUAGAUGUGACCAUGAACUUAAGUUUGCUUUCUCAUGCAUAGAUAUAACAAAUAUAAGAAAUUUCUUCAUAAUAAUCUAACAUAAAAUUUACAUUUUGUGACAUUCUUUUUUUGUCUCCUAAAAUGUGUUUGCUUUCAGUACACAUUAAAAGGAUGUGAAUUUUACAUCUGAAUAACAAUAUUCAAUCUAUUGUAUGUACAUUAUCCAGGAAAGCAUAGUUUUUUCUCACUUUCAUUUAACAUUGGAUUAACAUCGAAUGUUGAACCAGUUUUAACCAACUUGGAAGCAGCUCUUUGCUGAAAAAUGAUUCCCACUUAUUUGAAGAUGUUGUUCCCUCCAGGAAACUAAAUAGCACAUCCAAGACAUCUACUUUCACAUAAAAAGGAUUGGAAAGAGUUUUUUAUUUCAUGUUGAUAAAAAAGUAUGCUAAUUUCUUCAUUAAAAUACUGAAAUUUGUUCUGAUUAGCCAAAAUGCAAAUUUUAGAAUAUGAUAUGGUAAAUGUUUACAAUGAAACAUAUUCUAUUUUUUAUAUAUCUUUGAGAUAAUAGCAAACUCUCCUGUACACAUUUGUGACUUCAGAGGUAAAUGUUCAUGAAGCAGCAAUGGUGCCAUAGCAAAAGAAAAAUUUUUACAAUGUAAUGGUUAUCUGCCAUUAUUUUUGCUCCUUAAGGAUUUUAGACUAAAUUAACACAUUAAAUGUCUUUAUUUAAGGUAAUGAACCAUUAUUAAUAAACUACAAAAUAUUCUGUUAUAUAAAGAAUACUGCCUUCCUAGAGGGCAGUUUGGCAAUACUUAUUAAAAGCCCUAAAAUUUAGUGAACCACACAACUUAGCUGUUCCACUUGUAGGAACUCACAUUAAUGAAAUAAUUUAGAAUGUGCACAAAGAUUCCAUUAAGAGCAGGUUCAAUCAAGCAUUAAAUCUAAAUGCUCAAGGAAAGGAUAAGAUACAUUCUAGAAGAUCCACACAUAUCCUACAUAGUCUUUAGAAACAUAGUUCUCUUCUGUGAAAGCAAAUUUAUUGCUAAAGAGUCUCAUGAUCCGUAAAAUAAUGUGAAUGGAAGGCUGAAAAACAGUGUAAUGGUUUGCUUCUGCUUUUAUGAAUAUCACAUUUAUAUUUUUAAGUGUGCAUGUCACUUGUAACUCUAUCUCUAGGUAUGUACACAAAACUAUCCACAGCAGCUUCUACUGUUGGGUGGGUUUGCAUGAUUUUUCUUGCUGUUCUUGUGUAUUUUUAUACAUUAACAGGUAUUCCUUAUGAAAAGAAACUUGUAAAAUAAUCCAGAGCAUUUUAUGAUUACAAAAACAUAGAUAUCAUCAUAAUCAUAUAUAUAUUUUGUGAAAGAAAAACAUCUAUGUAAUGCACACUCCUUAUUUACAGUAUAUGUUAAUAUGAAUUAAAACAUAUCUAUUACUUCUUGCAUUUGGAGCAUUCCUUCAUUAAAACCGUGGUGGUAUAGUGGACUAUUUUUCUCUUUCUGUUUGGAAGAUGACAAUACCACAUUGUGUUUAAGCAUGUAAAUAUUGAUCAAACUCUCUGAAUGAGAGGAAACUUGUUUCAUUGAAAAAUGGGCAUGAUAAUAAAAAAAAUCUACUUUAGAAAGUUAUGUACAUUAACUGGAAAAUGAACGUAGUGUUUACAUAGUGCUGGUUUAUACUGAGGGUAUAGUUGGAAAACACUCUACUAAGCAUCAUAUAUGCAAGGUAUACACACUUUAUGAUCCAAAGGAGAUUCAAGUAUUGAAACUCUUCUAAGGACAAGACUCCAAACAAUUCUUGAACUAUAAAAUAGUCUCAAUCACCAGUGUUUUAACUGUUAGAUUAAGCUCUCAGCUAACUUAAUUUUUACAAACAUUAUAAAAAAUAUUUAUUUAUUUUCACUUUAUUUGAAAGAUGGGGGUGGGGAGAGAUAGAGAGAGAGAGAGAUCUCCAUCAUCUACUAGUUUACUUUCCAAAUACUCACACCAGCUAAGACUGUCUCAAUCCAAAGUCAGGAACUUGGAACUCAAGCUAUGUCUCCAACAUAGGUGCCAGGGACCCAAGUACUUGAAUCAUCACCUGAUGUCACUCAAUGUGCAUUAGCAGAAAACAGGAAGCAGGAAGCAGAAGUGGAACCUGGAUUUCACCCAGGCCUUCGAGAGCAGGAAUACAGAUAUCCCAAGGGGCAUCUUAACUGCUAUGCCAAACUUCCACUCCACUUUUCCACAACCUCUUUAAAGUAUCGUCUCAUAUGAUGGUCUUUCUUGUAAUAAGCUAUUUAUGGGAGGCCAGCAUUUUGGUGGAGUGGUUUAAGCUGUGACAUUGGCAUCCCAAAUGAAUGUUGGUUCAAGUCCCACUUACUCCACUUCCCAAACAGCUCCCUGCUAAUGCACCAGUGAAUGUUGGUCCAAACACUUGGGCCCCUGCUACCCACAUGAGGAACCCAGAUAGAGUCCCAAGUUCCUGGCUUGUGUCUUUGGCCUGGCUCAGCCCCAGUUGUUGCAACCAUUUGGGUAGUGAACUAGCAGAUGGAAUAUCUGUCUCCCUCUCUCUGUCUUUUUCUCUGUGUUUAUCUGCUUUUAAAAUAAAUAAAUAUUAUAAGUUAAAAAAUAAUGCACCUAAAAAAAAAGAACUUAUUUAUGUUCUUCUCAGAAAGUAGUUUCCUAAGAGUAGGUAUCUUCUCCAUUUUGUUCAACAUUGCCUUGCUAACUCAUGUGGGUCUCUUUUGUAAAGUAUAAUCUUAAUAAAUAUUUGUUAAUUCACUUGCUAAAUGGCUUCUAAUAUUCUUGGUUCAGGAUUUCUUUCUUGGUCACUUUUGUAUUCCCUGAAGCACUUAGCAAAGUUUUUAGCAAAUUUGUUACUGAAGGAAAAAUUGUUGAUUUGAAAAUUAGACAGUGGACAGUGGAAUUGAUAAAACUCUCAACUUUCAGGGAUAAUUAUGCCUUUUAAUUAAUAUUUUAGGCUAUAUAUCUGCCCCAAGUGACUUACAAUUGACCCCAUAAUUUUAGAUGUCUUCCAUAUAAAAAAUAAUCCUUCCUAAAUUGUAUGUAAACCAUUCAUAAAUUUUUUAAAGCCCACAAAAUUUCACUUAGUUGAUAAUUGCAGAGAAAUGAUAACAAUGAAUACAAAACAUCUCAUCUCUUUUGCUUACCUAGCAGAGCCUACCAAAUGUAACUGAAAAAACCCCAAGGCUUCUGAAUUCAGGAGAAACCAUCUCCUAUGCCUGCUAAAAUAGAUGCUUGAUGCUAUCAUUUUCAAAGACAUUUAGAAAUACAAAUAUGUGAAUCAGUCAUUUGUAUUUUACUCUGAAACCAAAUCACUCAAAAUUAUUUUCAUCUCUUUUAUUGUCUUUUACUGUUCUAUAUAAGUGAAAUUCAUCUGAUCACUGACAACUUUCUGUAGCUUUCUCUGUAAUAAUUUCAUAUAACUGACUUCACAGCUUACAAAAUGAUUUUUAUAUAUUGCUAUCUGCUAAUAAUUAGGUCCAGAUAGUCCUAGGGGCUUUGAAGUGAUCCUGGCAUCUGAGCCCUACUCUUCAAUCCUGGGGGUUGUGUCUGCAAUUUCAGUCAUAUUUCCCUUGGUGCUUUUGAACAAGCAAACUGCUCCUUUAGCUCAUCUGACCUGCCUAAAAUGAAAAAAAAAAAAAAAAAGGCAUAAAAUCUCCUGAGAAGGUGUGUCCUAACAAGAUUUCAGACCCAAUUCCAGCCACCAAGGGGGCUGAGAUAAGCCUUAGAUACACAGCUCAGCCUUUGGAUUCUUUCAUCCAACUCCAACCUUGGAACCUUUUGUAAUUCCUUCACCUCUAUUCACUUCACAGGAUUGGGUCCAUCACUAAUCAUAAUAUAGGAUUUUGCUUAGAAGUUUGAUCAGCUUUAAAGUUUGCUCCAGCUCAGCACAGACCAUACCCUUAGCUCUAUAGGAUGAGAGGAUAAAGGGAUUCUUUGCCCUGCACACUCUAGGAAUUAAUUGAACCAACUAUAAAUAGCCAUUCUAAGUAGAAAGGAAACACUCAAGGCAUUACCUUGAAAUACAUGAUUUCAAGAUUGCCUUGAGCUCUUUUGAGGGGGAAAAUUUCAUCUUCCCACUGAUACAUCUUAGCUAUAAUUACUAUAAGUGCACAUCAACUCCACUGGAUUAGAUGUUAAUAUCUUAAAGUUUUUUUUAAUUCCAAAUGAUUUGAGAAUAUAACAAAUGACAAGGCUGAAUUGUGCAAUUAAACUAUUCAAUUUUAAAAAUAUUUAUUUUAAAAUGUUCUGUAAUUUAAUGGCAUUUUUUUCUUCUUUUGUAUAUGUAGAGAGUAAAAUUAUAUCUGCAUAUUUUAUACAUUAUGUAUUCUAGAUACACACAUACACAUACAGAAAGAUAUAGUAAAACCAGAAAAAUAAUAUAUAGUGAAAGAAGAAAAAUUGAACGAAUUACCAAUAGCACACUUAAGGAAGUAUGUUCAUCCACUUAUAUCAGAUGCUGUUUUUGGUACUGUGAGGGAGAUGUAUGUAAAAGCAGGACACUUAUGGCUUCUUGGCCUUUUGGUUAAGAUCAAGUGUAAAAGCAGGACACUUGACUUCCCCAGGAUCAUAGCAGUGGGCAAAUACAUCUAAUUCCAAAGGCGGAAUUUUCAAGGGCAUAACAUAAGUAAAGCAAACACAUAAAUUGUAGGAGAAUUUUGAGAGCAGAGAAAUCAUGAUUAAGGCCCAAUAAGUUUAGAAGAAAAUUUUAAUAUGGAAAAUUUCCAACACUGAAAAACAUACACUUAGGAUAAAAGGGGAAUUUCUAGAGACUAACUAGUAUCUAGAUCAUUGAGUACAUUUUGAAUUUUAAUUAGUGGCUCCUCUUUCUAGUAUUUUCAGAAGGAAUACUAGAAACUUUAUUUACAUGCUGGUGAAGAAUGUUUCAGUAUUCUGAAAUGAGUGAUUUAAGGGAUAAUUAUGUAUAUAAUUAGAAAAUUAUU